UAAAGCAAACCAUUUAGCUGCUUGUAAAUGUGUGAUCCAUUCCGCAAUCUGAAAUCAAUGUUGGCACCGAUCUGGCAACUUUUGGGCGAGUCUCUGUUCUGCAGUGUUUCCGGUAUCCGAUUUCUGUGACUGAAGCGUUGAUAAGUGUUAGGUGCUAUCGCAGUUUUCAGUGGAGGUGGUUGGUACCCUACAUUCCCUUGCUGGACACAUGUGCGAAAGAGAGAUGAGGAAGCGCUGGAAACAUAGCAGAGCAGCAUUAGCCUUUGCUAUAUCUCCACUUCAUGUAAAUGGAAAAGUCUCUGGAACGUCUUGUUGAGAAUUGAAGCCCUUGUGCAUAUUGCAUCAACCAAGGGUAAAAUGUUACCACAUAUAGGCCAAUUUUACAACUCACUUGUGGUGAUUGUCCCUUCACAUGAAGUCUGUAUGUUGGUAGAUUCUUAGCUGCGUAAUAGCUCGGGCACGACUCGGGAGUCGGAACGGGCAAUAUCCUUGUGCAUUCAGUUGGUGAACUCUUGUGUUCCAUUGGGUAAUACUAUCAAAUCUCAAUGUGCUAUUUGGGAAAAUUUUAUUUUUCUCCUGACAUUUGCCACAAUUUCUGUCGGUGGACAAAAUAUCUUUUAGGUAACAACGAAACCCCCAUUUGGUUGUCUAUGUAGGAUUGGUAGUAGCUUCCGAAGCAGUAGGUUCCAACAUCAUCUAACGUCUGCUUUAGUAAUGGCAGGGAUGUGAAUGAUAAUUUGUGAAAUCAAACAAGUUAAGCAGGUGCCUAGCUCAACAACUCCUAUGAUUGGUGGUGGUAGUUAUAAGGCACCUGUUCAGGCAACAGUUUCGUUUUUUAAUCUGCAAAGGAUUUUUGCGUUAUUGCGUCUACUGUGGAGCCUGUGUAGCAUACGCAAGGGGGCGUUCAUCUGCAUUCCUGAUCAUCAAGCAGUUGCAAAUAUGUUCUACACUGAUAAGCAUCAGAGGCAAAGGGCCAGCUGAACUAGUACUAAUCUCUCCCGUAGAACUCCUAUUUUUAUACGGUCUGCUGCUAAGGGCACAAAAACGAGGCGAAGACUCAGCAACCAUUAAUCGACGAACGAGACUUGGACGCAGCAGAGGGCGAAGUGAAGGCGAAGCGAAGUUCUGAUGUGCCAUUCGGCACCACGAUACUUUGCUGAGGUUUCAUUCUACUAUACUACUACGUAUGCCACGAGAUCUUAUUCUAAGGCACCAAAAUACUACACCACGAAUGCUGCCUAGUACCACUCUACUGCCUUGUACUACACUUCAGCUCCGGAAUACUAUCCCUACACAAGGUGGAAUACCAUAAUACAAUUCGAGCAUUUCAGCCAUAAAGUAUCCCAGGAGUUGUCACGGCUGCAAAACCAAUUAAACUACCGCGUGUUACGUUUCAGAGAUGGUGGUGCCAGUACAUACCGGUUUGAAAUAUUGUCCUGUCUGAGUGCAGAGUGCCAGACAUGGUCGGCUGACGGGUCCGAUAUUUGACAUGAAACUUGGAGACUAUGUUGUUGCUACACCUUGCUAAGCUACGUUAUAUAGAAAUACAGUCAAUAUGUUUAUGUAA